GGGCCGUUAGCUCAGUCUGGUAGAGCAGCAGGCUCUUAACCUGCCUGUCGGGGGUUCGAAUCCCUCACGGCCCG
rnacentral:tRNA from 2 species